rnacentral:rRNA from 1 species
UGCAGUCGAACGGUAACAGGUCUUCGGAUGCUGACGAGUGGCGAACGGGUGAGUACCACUUUCGGAACGUGCCCGAUCGUGGGGGAUAACGAGGCGAAAGCUUUGCUAAUACCGCAUACGAUGUACGGAUGAAAGCGGGGGAUCUUCGGACCUCGCGCGGACGGAGCGGCCGAUGGCAGAUUAGGUAGUUGGUGGGAUAAAAGCUUACCAAGCUGACGAUCUGUAGCUGGUCUGAGAGGAUGAUCAGCCACACUGUGACUGAGACACGUCCCAGACUCCUACGGGAGGCAGCAGUGGGGAAUUUUGGACAAUGGGCGAAAGCGUGAUCCAGCCAUGCCGCGUGCAGGAUGAAGGCCUUCGGGUUGUAAACUGCUUUUGUACGGAACGAAAAGCCUCUUUCUAAUAAAGAGGGGUCAUGACGGUACCGUAAGAAUAAGCACCGGCUAACUACGUGCCAGCAGCCGCGGUAAUACGUAGGGUGCAAGCGUUAAUCGGAAUUACUGGGCGUAAAGCGUGCGCAGGCGGUUUUGUAAGACAGAGGUGAAAUCCCCGGGCUCAACCUGGGAACUGCCUUUGUGACUGCAAGGCUGGAGUGCGGCAGAGGGGGAUGGAAUUCCGCGUGUAGCAGUGAAAUGCGUAGAUAUGCGGAGGAACACCGAUGGCGAAGGCAAUCCCCUGGGCCUGCACUGACGCUCAUGCACGAAAGCGUGGGGAGCAAACAGGAUUAGAUACCCUGGUAGU